rnacentral:rRNA from 1 species
UCGUUUUUAAUGACAUCUUUUAGAUGGAUGAUUCGUGUAAAUAUGCUAGUUCUUUCAUGAUUAUGUGAUAGGUGGUGCAUGGCCGUUCUUAGUUCGUGGAGUGAUCUGUCUGCUUAAUUGCGUUUCACUAAGGCCCCAAAGUUAGCAAAUUAUCAAUCGUUACAGAGUCGACCCCUCACCUUUGAGUGCGCGUCCUAACUUGUAGUACAUGGUGUAAAUGGAU